rnacentral:miRNA from 1 species
ACGGGUGCGGCUACAUUUUGG